AAAGAAACCGAUGCAGAGAAAGAAAAAGAGGAAGAAAAAAAAAAGGAAAACAAAGGAAAAAUUCGCCAAUGUGUUAGGAAUUCAGUGCUCUAUCUUAUUGGGCUUGAAUUUCUCAAUUUUGAAAGGUAAGUAAAAAGUUACUAUGUGUUAAGUUACGUUUGAUUUUAUAGUUGUUAUAUAGUUAGGCUAAAUUUAAUUUUAGUGAAGGGGAUUAAGUGUAAUAAACUAUGAAAUUGAGUAAAAUGAAAGAAAAAUUAAUUUUAAUAAUUAAAGAUACGUUAGAAAUCGCCUAAACGUGAAAUAAUUAAGUUUGGGUAUCGUCUAUUUUUAGUUAAUUGUUGAUUUAAAAAUUAUAUUAUAUUUCAGGCGGCGAUACGGAUAUCGGGACAGCGUAUCAAUCGAAUUGAUUUUGGUGUACAUAGUUCUGUGAGUGGAAAAAUAUAAAUAUUUUUAAAGUAUUUAUAAAUUAAGUUAUUGUUAAAGUAUGUACAAUUAUAUCAACUAUGUGUUCAAAUUACAUGGUUUUUAUGGAAAUAUCUUUUAUUAUGAUACAUGUGGGAUUUCAAAGAUUGUAUAUGUUACAUAGUGAAUUGGAAUAUGAGAUAUAAUUUUGGGAUCGACCAGAAAAGUACCCGUGAUUAUAUAUUUCUUCUAGUUCACCGAGGGGCCUUAGCCGUGUUCUAUACUACACUGAUAGGUCAUGGACCGGGGAUGAAGGGGUCUCGACUAUAUAUAUAUAGUUCAUUGUAGGGCCUUGACCGUGUUCUAGAAUUGAUUUUGAGAGAUCUCUCAGACCGACCUUCGUUUACGGAGGGGCCAAAGGCCCGCGGCGAAAGUUCUUAACCCGAGGGGCGGAUUACAUAUUUCAGUCAGAGGGUACAUUUUUGGUGGAUUUUUCAGCACGUUUGAUGUGAUGAGAUUAUAACAUGGUUAUCAGCUGAUGUUAUAUCAUGAUUUUAAGAUGAUAUUUUUAUGACAUUAUGUGAAUAUUUCACUUUUUGGCUAUAAUUACAUGAUGGUAGCUUGUGAAUUAUCAAAUGGUAUGAAUUUGAUUUUCAAUAAAAAUGUAUAAAUGAAAAAAUAUAUUUAUUUUGAACUUCUCCAUUCACUGAGCUAUCAACUCAUAUAUUUUUCCACGUUUUUUCCUUAUCAAGCAGCAGUUGAGAAUUUAGGCAUCUUUUGGAGUUGAGCCUUGAUUUUGGAGUUAGAGCCACACGACAGAGUUUGUUAGUAUGACUCACUUCAUAGAACAUGUAGUCAGUGGUUUGGGACGCAUGUUCAUGUCUAGAUGUGAUUUUGCAUCACUUGUAGUUAGUUAUGGGGCUUAUUAUGUAUUAUGUAUCCAUAUGUAUAUUUCAUUGUAUUUCUUGAUGAAAGUGGAGAUUUCGGCUUAUCUUUAUUGUGCUGUGCUAUAGUCUGGGAUUUGUGUGAAAUUGAUCGCAGGUUGGUUAGUCCUGUUUAUAGGGAAGAUAAUGCCGAAAUUUUGUUAGAAAAAUAAUGUAUAAAAAGUGAUAUAUUGUAUUUGUAGUAGCUUUGAUGGUGGGUCCGACUUUUAGUUGGUAUCUAUCAUCGACGCAUGCCACGUUUGGAUCUAGUGGUGUUACAUGGGGCGGGAUGUGUCAGUUUGGUAUCAAAGCAUGCAUUAGAGUUCAUGGGUUUGCAUUAUACAUGCAUACAUUCUGAUGUUUAGCAUAUCAUGCAUAACUGUAGGUGAGUUAUGCCUCGUGGUGGCAAAACUCGAAGGCUCUAAGAUAUGUUGCCCCAGUCUCAUAUUGCUCUUGAUAGAGAUGAAUUGAGAGAGCUCGAGAGAAUAUAUGAAUCAGUUCACCAACCUCUUGAACAACGGGGACAGGGAAAUGUGAUUGGAAUUGAUCCUAUUGCUGUUGAAAGAAUUGCUAUUGCCGUUGCAUCUGCUAUGAGUAAUACUGACAGAGUUUCAGUAUUGAAAGGGCUACAAAGUUAGGGGCUAAAGUGUUCACUGGCACAGCCGAUCCUGUAAUUGCACAGGCAUGGAUGACUAAGAUAGAGAGAGUAUUUGAUGUUAUGGGUUGCUCAGACGAUAGGAAGUUGUGUCUCGCCACUUUCUUAUUAGAGGAAGGUGCAUACGAUUGGUGACAGUCGGUAUGGAGCACAUAUCUAGACCCUUCCAUCAUCACUUGGACAGAAUUCAGACGUAUCUUUUAUGAUGCCUAUUACCCUCAGUCCUAUAAAGAUGCAAAGAAGGAGGGAUUUUUGAAACUAAUACAAGGCCAAAUGACUAUUGUCGAAUAUCAGGUGAAAUUUAUUGAACUUUCAAAAUAUGUCCAAGUUUUGGUAUGCAACGAAAUUGAUAAAUGCAGACGGUUUGAAAAUGAGUUAAGGGAAGAAAUCAGGUCAGUUGUAACAGUUGCAGGCUGGAAUGAAUUUGGAAAAUUAGUGGAAUCAGCUUUGAGAGUGGAAAAGAGCAUUUCUGAUAGGCCAAGUGGUAAAGAACAAACAAUGUCCAGAGCAAGCGGUAGUCAGACAAUGGUAAGUGUUUCUAGCUAUAGACCACCAUAGAGGGACAGUAGAGGAUUUCGACUUGGUGUGUCCAGUUCAAGUCAAUUCAAAUCUCGACUCCGAGGAAGUUAGGGUCCUAGAUUCAGUCCCAGUACUGUACAGCAACCAGUGGCCAGUCGUACUUAUACUCAGGGUUCUUCCCAGAGAUUAUUUACUUCGAGAUAGGGCGAGAGUUUUACUAGUACUAGACUACCUUAUUGUCAAUCAUGUAGAAGACCUCAUCUCGGCACGUAUUUAAAGUUCAAAGGAAGCGGAGUCUGUUAUCAUUGUGGUCAAGGCAGACAUAUCAGAAGAAAUUUUCCAAUUAUAUCACAGGAGAGUGGUAUGGUACCGAAGAUAUUUCCUCAGCAGAGUGCUGGUAGUACAAGACAGAAUCAGACUCAGAGAGAUGAUUCAGUUAAUAGAACAGGUGCAAACAGUGUGGCCCAGUCUAAUUUCGCAAGCGGUAGUGGUACAAAAUCAAAACAGAAGGCAGGACGACCGAAGACCCAGGGCAAAGUUUUUGCUAUGACUCAGCAGGCGACAGAGGAGUCUCCAGAUGUUAUCAUGGGUAUGUUGUCUAUUUUUAAUAGAAAUGCUUGUAUUUUGAUUGAUCCUAGAUCUACACAUUCUUUUACGUCAUUUGCAUUUGCUUUAUAUGCGAAUCAAAAGCCAGAACUUUUAGGCAGUGGUUUGGUAGUGAAUACACCAGUAGGAGAAUCACUAUUAGCAAACAAUAAAUAUCGAGAUUGUGGGAUUAAGGUAAAGGAAAAUUAGCUGUAGGCAAAUUUAAUACCUCUUGACAUACAUGAUUUCGAUGUUAUCUUGGGAAUGGACUUUUUGGCAACAAAUCGAGCUUUAGUUGAUUGGUUUCGAAAGGAGGUUGUGUUUAGACAGCUAGGACUGCCUGGAAUUAUAUUCAAUGGACAACGCAGAAUUUUACCGUCUUGUGUGAUAUCUGCUAUUGACGCUAGAAGAUUACUCAACAAGGGCUGCCAUGCAUAUUUGGCUCAUGUAAUUGAUACAUAUAUUAGCAAACUAAAACUUGAAGAUAUCCCAGUGGUCAAGGACUUUCCUGAUGUAUUUUCAAAAGAGUUACCAGGCUUACCAUCAGACAGAGAUAUGGAGUUCACUAUAGAUCUGAUUCCAGGAACUGCACCUAUUUCACAGGCACCCUAUAGAAUGGCACCAGCAAAAUUGAAAGAGCUAAAAGUUCAGUUGCAAGAGUUGGUAGACAAGGGUUUCAUCAGACCUAGUAUAUCUCCGUGGGGAGCACCAGUUUUGUUUGUGGAAAAGAAAGAUGGCAUCAUGCGACUGUGCAUAGAUUACGGACAAUUGAACAAAGUGACAAUUCGCAAUAAAUAUCCUUUGCCACGUAUUGAUGAUCUGUUUGAUCAGCUUCGAGGUGCUACAGUAUUUUCAAAGAUCGAUUUACGUUUGGGAUAUCAUCAACUUAAAAUCAGGGACAGUGAUGCGCCAAACACUGCUUUUAGGACAAAAUAUGGUCAUUUUGAAUUUCUUAUGAUGCCAUUUGGGUUGACCAACGCACCAGCAGCAUUUAUGGACAUGAUGAAUAGAGUGUUUCGCCCGUAUUUAGACAGAUUUGUAAUUGUAUUCAUUGAUAAUAUUUUAGUAUACUCUCGAGAUCAUGAUGAGCACACAGAACAUCUCAUAAUCAUCUUGCAGACUCUACGUGAUGAGUAGCUGUAUGUUAAAUUCAAUAAAUGUGAAUUUUGGCUUGAUAAAGUUGUAUUUUUGGGACAUGUAAUAUCAGCAGAAGGAGUUUAUGUUGACCCACAGAAAACAGAGGCAGUGGUAAAAUGGGAAAGACCUACUAAUGUGACAGAAAUCUGAAGUUUUCUUGGCUUAGCAGGUUAUUACCGUCGUUUUGUAAAGGGAUUUUCUAAAAUUGCUCUUCCUUUGACCAGUUUGACUAGGAAGAAUGCUAAAUUUGUUUGGAAUGAAAAUUGCGAAAAAAGUUUCCUCGAGUUGAAAAAUAGAUUAGUGUCAGUUCCAGUUCUUACGCUUCCAUCUCCUGGUGAAGAGUUUGUGAUAUAUAGUGAUACUUCACAACAGGGUCUUGGUUGUGUUUUGAUGCAGAAUGGGAAAGUUGUAACGUAUGCUUCCAGGCAGUUGACGAAACAUGAACUGAAUUAUCCUACACAUGACUUAGAGCUAACUGCAGUUGUCUUAGCUUUGAAAAUUUGGAGACAUUACUUGUAUGGUGAGAGAUGCCAGAUAUAUACAGAUCAUAAAAGCUUAAAGUAUAUUUUCGAUCAGAAAGAGUUAAAUUUGAGGCAAAGAAGAUGGUUAGAGCUGAUAAAAGAUUAUGACUGCAAGAUUGAUUAUCAUUCAGGGAAGGCUAAUAUAGUUGCUGAUGCUCUCAGUCGGAAAAUAUCGAGUCCUAUGACCUAGACUAAUGCAGUAUGUUCAUCUUUGUUUGGUGAGUUCAGAAGUUCUCAUGCUCAAUUAUCAGUUACUAGUGUAGGAUCAUUGUUUGCAAACUUUCAAGUGAGGCCUACUUUGAUUGACACAGUUAGAGAAACUCAAACUCAAGAUCCAGUGUUGAGCAAACUGAAAGAAGAAGUUAGUAAAGGUAAGCAUACAGAUUAUACCAUUCGAGAUGAUGGAGCUUUAGUUAUGGGAAACAGAUUAUGUGUUCCAGAUAAUUCGAAAUUGAAGGGAGAAAUUCUAGAAGAGGCACAUAGUUCAGCUUACGCGAUGCAUCCAGGUAGUACAAAAAUGUAUCGUGUACUCAAAGAACACUAUUGGUGGCAUGAAAAUAAAGAGAAAAAUAGCUGAGUUUGUAUCCAGAUGUCUCAUUAGCCAGCAAGUGAAACCAGAUCGUCAGAAAACAGCAGGAUUGUUACAAACGUUACCUAUUCCUGAGUGGAAAUGGGAACACAUUACUAUGAAUUUUCUAUUUAGACUUCCACGAACUCAGAGUAGACAUGAUGGUUGUUCGCGAAAUAAUUCUUUCGAUUUAAAAUUACCGCAAGUGUACGGUUCGUAACAAGUAAUAAAGUAGAUUUUUAAAAGUCUGAAUAUCGUCCAUCAGAGAUUGAGUAGUUCAAUUCUAUAUAAUCUAGCCUUAACCGAAUCUAAUUGAGUGAAAAUAUGGUCUAAUUGCAAAAAAACCUAAUUUCGACUAAAAACCCUAAUUUCAACUAAAAACCCUAAUUGCAUUUGAAAACCCUAAUUUCUCAAUUAGAAACCAUAAUUUCGAAAUUUCUCUAAUUAAAUGACUUAAACACUCAAGUAAAUGAAAUUAAGCAAGUUUAAAAGCUAAUUUAUUAAAAUGAAUCAAACUAAAGUCACUAGGAUCACGAAUCCCCAAUUGAAGUUAUAAAAACUCUAAUUUCAUAAAAUUAAUGAUUCGAUGAAAAUUUGCCAAUUCAAUGUUCUUAAUUCUAUCCAAUAUACUCUCUCGAUAUAUAUUAGACUUAUUCUUGCACACCACCAGCCUAUAUUUCUAUGGAUGAUGCAAACAUAUAAGAAUGUAUGCAGUAUUGUGAACAAUUUAAGAAUUACAUAAAGCAUAGGGGUAUAUCUCUAUCCCCUAUCGGACCCUAUGUUAAUUUACACCUUAUCGAACCUAUUCCACUUCUCUCAAAUGUAUGAAACAAGUCAUCAAUACUCACACAAUCAUUGACCACUAAUUACGGAAGAAAAUUAAUGCAUGUAAAUCAAUCAAAAUAUCCAACGAAUCUUUAUAUCAAGUUCAUGAAAUAUAAAAUUAAAAUAACAAACAACGGUUCAUCGAUUACCUAGUAAGUGAAAACCUAGCCUAGAAGAUUCAUAAUUACAGAAAACAAAACGAAAUUAAUGAAUAGAAAGAAUAACACCCGUAUGAAAGUUCUUGAAAUCUGAAAUUUUGAACAAAACCUUGAAAACCCCUUUAAAUCCUUGUGAAAUCCGCUUCAAGUUCGUGUUCAUUGCCUCCAAAAGUUGUAUUCUUCCUCUCCCUGGACAUUCUGCCCUACUUCUGAUGAAUUUUGGCUUUUAUAUUAUGUCCUCACGGAGCCCCGAAAGAGUUUCAAUUAAAAACGAAAGUUCAGAUUUUUUAUCGAAUUUAAAGCCAUGCUGCCGCAUGGUUCAAUUUUUCAGCUCAAUUGAAACCCUGCUAGACCCUGUGCGGCUGCAUGGUUAUAAAAACUUUCCUUCGGACAGUUUUUAAUAUUUUGGUCAUAACUUUCUCUCUCAAUCUCCGAUUGAAAUGAUUCAAAGUGCAUUGGGAAGAAAACUCAAAGAUAUACAUUUUGAUAGAAAUAGGCCUUCUCAAAUUCUGAUGUUUACUAUGCCAAAAAUGGAUCUCAAAUAGAGACUCAAAAUCACGUGCAUAACUUUUUCGCCUGAAAGUUAAACUUGAUAAUACUUCGACCAUGUUUCACCUCUUGACUCCUUUCCUCAUCCGAUUGACCUCGAACACUCUUGAAUCUUCAUUCAUUUCCCGUCUCAUCUAUGGAUUAUUUGCAAAUUGGUCCCCGAACUAUCGCUUUGUUCCGUUUUGGUCAUUUUUUGGCUCUUUUCUUCUGAAUUCCAUCUUUUCCCUAGAAACACAUACAUUGCAUGAAUUUAACAAGAUUAAGUCAUAAUUUAACUACUUUGUCCAUGUUUAAGUCAUGUUUGUGAGCUAAAUAAGUGUGUAAAAACACACUUAUCAAUGGUAUAUGGAUCAUUGUAGACAGAUUGACAAAGACUGCUAGAUUUUUGCCUAUUAAAGUCGCUUACUCGUUAGAUAAAUUGGCAAAAAUAUAUGUUGACGAGAUAAUCAGUUUAUAUGGGGCACCAGUAUCUAUUGUUUCAGAUAGAGAUUCUCGUUUCACUUCUAAAUUUUGGCCUAGUUUACAAAAAGUUAUGGGUACUAAACUUCAUUUCAGUACAGUUUUUCAUCCACAAACAGAUGGUCAGUCAGAAAGAACUAUUCACACUCUGGAAGACAUGUUACGAGCUUGUGUACUACGGUUUAAAGGGAAUUGGGAUACUCAUCUUUCUUUGAUGGAGUUUGCUUAUAAUAACAGUUAUCAUUCGAGUAUAUAAAUGGCUCCUUUUGAAGCACUGUAUGAUAGGAAAUGCAGAACUCCAAUAUGUUUUGAUGAAGUUGGUGAAGGAAAGUUAUUGGGUCCUGAAUAUAUCCAGAUUACUGUUGAGAAAGUAAAGAUAAUUAAAGAAAAGUUAAAAACAGCCCAAGAUAGACAGAAGAAUUAUGCAGAUAAACGCAGAAAAAACCUCGAAUUUGAUGUUGGAGAUAGAGUUUUCCUGCGAUUGUCGGCAUGGAAAGAUGUUAUUAGAUUUGAUAAACGAGGUAAAUUGAGUCGGAGAUAUAUUGGCCCAUAUGAGAUUGUUGAACGCAUCGGUCGAGUUGCAUAUCGAUUGGCUUUGCCAACAGAAUUAUCCAGAAUUCAUGAUGUAUUCCAUGAUUCUAUGUUUCCUAAGUAUAUUCAGAUCCAUCUCAUGUUUUGGAAUCACAACCAGUAGAACUGAAGGAAAAUCUUACCUAUGAAGAAAAACCAAUUCAGAUAUUGGAUAGGAAGGAACAGGUUUUGCGUAGUAAGACUAUUCCAUUGGUUAAAGUCUUGUGGAGGAAUCAUGCUAUAGAAGAAGCGACAUGGGAAAGUGAAGAGUAGAUGCGUUCUCAGUAUCCCUAGAUUUUUCGUACCUAGUUGAUUGAAUUUCGAGGACGAAAUUCUUUUAAGAAUGUAAGUUUGUAAUACCUUCAUAAGUAAUUAAAAAUAUAUAUAUAUAUAUAUAUAUAUAUAAUGGUCAAAGAUGUCAUGCUAUGAAAACAAAACAAAAAGCGAAAACCAAAAAAAAAGAUUAUUAAAAUAAAAUAACAUGAGGCGGCUUUAGCUAGUGUAUAUCAUUCCAAUUUCUUGCAAAUUCAUCUCAAUACCCACACACACAAAAGAAACCGAUACAGAGAAAGAAAAAGAGAGAAAAAGAGGAAGAAAAAAAAAAGGAAAAAUUCGCCAAUAUGUUAGGAAUCAAGUGCUCUAUCCUAUUGGGCUUGAAUUUCUCAAUUUUGAAAGGUAAGUAAAAAGUUACUUAUUGUUAAGUUAUGUUUGAUUGUAUAAUUGUUAGAUAGUUAGGCUAAAUUUAAUUUUAUUGAAGGGGUUAAGUGUAAUAAACUAUGAAAUUGAGUAUAAUAAAAGAAAAAUUAAUUUUAGUAAUUAAAGAGACGUUAGAAAUCGCCUAAACGUGAAAUAAUUAAGUUUGGGUAUCGUCUAUUUAAUUAAUGAAAUUUAUUAAAUUAGUUAAUUGUUGAUUUAAAAAUUAUAUUAUAUUUCAGGCGACGAUACGAAUAUCGGGACAGCGUAUCAAUCGAAUUGAUUUUGGCGUACAUAGUUCUGUGAGUGGAAAAAUAUAAAUAUUUUUAAAGUAUUUAUAAAGUAAGUUAUUGUUAAAGUAUGUGCAAUUAUAUGCAAUUAUGUGUUCGAAUUACAUGAUUUCUAUGGAAAUAUCUUUUAUUAUGAUACAUGUGGGAUUUCAAAGAUUGUAUAAGUUACAUUGUGAAUUGGAAUAUGAGAUAUGAUUUUGAGAUCGACCAGAAAAGUACCCGUGAUUAUAUAUUUCUUCUAGUUCACUGAGGGGCCUUGGCUGUGUUCUAUACUACACUUAGAGUUCAUGGACCGGGGAUGAAGGGGUCUCGACCGUGUAUAUAUAGUUCAUUGAGGGAUUUUGACCGUGUUCUAGAAUUGAUUUUGAGAGGUCUUUCAGACCGACUUUCGUUCACGGAGGGGCCAAAGGCCCGUGGCGAAAGUUCUUAGCCCGAGAGGCGGAUUACAUAUUUCAGUCAGAGGGUACAUUUUUGGUGAAUUUUUCAGCACGUUUGAUGUGAUGAGAUUAUAAUAUGGUAUCAGCUGAUGUUAUAUCAUGAUUUUAAGAUGAUAUUUUUAUGACAUUAUGUGAAUAUUUCACUUUUUGGCUAUAAUUACAUGAUGGUAGCUUGUGAAUUAUCAAAUGGUAUGAAUUUGAUUUUCAAUAAAAAUGUAUAAAUGAAAAAGCAUAUUUAUUUUGAAUUUCUCCACUCACUAAGCUAUCAACUCAUAUAUUUUUCCACGUUUUUCCUUAUCAGGCAGCAGUUGAGAAUCUGAGCAUCUUUUGGAGUUGAACCUUGAUUUUGGAGUUAGAGCCACACGACAGAGUUUGUUAGUAUGACUCACUUCAUAGAACAUGUAGUCAGUGUUUUGGGACGCAUGUUCAUAUCUAGAUGUGAUUUUGCAUCACUUGUAGUUAGUUAUGGGGCUCACUAUGUAUUAUGUAUCCAUAUGUAUAUUUUAUUGUAUUUCUUGAUAAAAGUGGAGAUUUCGG
rnacentral:lncRNA from 1 species